rnacentral:rRNA from 1 species
UACGUAGGGUGCGAGCGUUGUCCGGAAUUAUUGGGCGUAAAGGGCUCGUAGGCGGUCUGUUGCGUCAGGAGUGAAAACUCGGGGCUUAACCCCGAGCCUGCUUCUGAUACGGGCAGACUAGAGGUAUGCAGGGGAGAACGGAAUUCCUGGUGUAGCGGUGAAAAUGCGCAGAUAUCAGGAGGAACACCGGUGGCGAAGGCGGGAUCUCUGGGCCAUUACCUGACGCUGAGGAGCG